rnacentral:rRNA from 1 species
GACGAACGCUGGCGGCGUGCUUAACACAUGCAAGUCGAACGGAAAGGCCCUGCUUUUGUGGGGUGCUCGAGUGGCGAACGGGUGAGUAACACGUGAGUAACCUGCCCUUGACUUUGGGAUAACUUCAGGAAACUGGGGCUAAUACCGGAUAGGAGCUCCUGCUGCAUGGUGGGGGUUGGAAAGUUUCGGCGGUUGGGGAUGGACUCGCGGCUUAUCAGCUUGUUGGUGGGGUGGUGGCUUACCAAGGCUUUGACGGGUAGCCGGCCUGAGAGGGUGACCGGCCAAAUUGGGACUGGGAUACGGCCCAGACUCCUACGGGGGGAGGCAGUGGGGAAUAUUGCACAAUGGGCGGAAGCCUGAGGCAGCAAGGCCGCGUGCGGGAUGACGGCCUUCGGGUGGUAAACGGCUUUCGCCUGGGACGAAGCGUGAGUGACGGUACUGGGUAAAGAAGCACCGGCUAACUACGUG